rnacentral:rRNA from 1 species
GAGCUGGACUGCGCAGUAGAGAGAAUGCCGGCAUGAGUAGCGAGAGUAAGGUGAGAAACCUUACCGCCGGAAGCCUAAGGAUUCCUGGGGAAGGGUUGUCCACCCAGGGUAAGUCGGGGCCUAAGCCGAGGCCGGAAGGCGUAGGCGAUGGGAAACCGGUAGAGAAUCCGGUACCACCGAGGGCCGCAUGAGGGAAGUGGGGACGCAGCGAGGUAGGCGGAGCGCGCGGUUGGUAGAGCGCGUCCAACCAGUCACCGGAGGGCACGUAGGCAAAUCCGCGUGCUGGCAGGGGGCUGGGAAGGGGAGCCGGAAGGCGAAGCCGCUAAGAACGCUGCCAAGAAAAGCCGCUACCGAGGUCUGAGGUGCCCGUACCGCAAACCGACACAGGUAGGCGAGGAGAGAAUCCACAGGCGAGCGGGAGAACCCUCCUUAAGGAACUCGGCAAAAUGACUCCGUAACUUCGGGAGAAGGAGUGCCGA